rnacentral:lncRNA from 1 species
UUCCUCCUAAACCUUUUCACUAAGGUUGAUUUUGUGGUGCGACCUACCACAUUUGUCUCAAUUACCCUCCCAAUUUCAAGAACAAUCCUAUUAUAUCCAGAGAGUUUUAAUAUUUAUUUCAUAUACGUACUUGAUUUCUUUCGAAACCAGACACUCACCAUCUCGGAGUACAUCUAUGUACCAAAGAACUCAUUACUACUCUAUUCCAAGAUUUCUAGGGCUGCUCACACUUCUUAAUUGCUUUUACUUAACCACUAAACAAUACCACAUUAUUAAA